AGUGACAAACAACAAGAGGAAGAGUGGGAGGGGGAAGAUCACGAAUAAGGAAUGCGGGACAUGCAGCACCGAUGCUGUGAUAAUGAGCCUCCACAGUAGGCAACAUGACAGCGGAGCUGAGCCACCAUUUUGACAAAGAAUAACACACAGCCCCAUUGUGGCACAUGGUGCAACACUACUCUUGGGAACAGUAGAACUGGAUUGGUAACUACAAAAUGUCCUUUAAAGCUUCUUCUUCCUCGGCCCUCAGAGCUGAAACUUCACACACGAGAGCUGUCGCCAUGUAAUUUUUUGUAGAGACAUUCUCAGAAACAAAGACAGGACUUCAAACUGACCUCUGCAAACUGACUUACCUCUGCAAGUGUGAGGUUGUUUCUCCCUGCGCUGGAUGAAGAAAAACCCCUCAACAGAAACCUGACACUCGAGUAACAGACAAACAAAAAGCACUAGCAGAGGGAUGGAAAAGGCUGUCUGGGGCUUGCUGGCUGCUGCUGGCCAGAGCCCAUACCUGAGUGCAGGCUUCUGGUUCACACUCACACAUUUUGACAGUGACGAUGCAGAGCCGUCCUGCCAAAUAAAAAAAAAUGGGAAAUAAAUAAAAACAUAACCAAAGACUACUAUAAAGAUUACCCUAUCAACACAAGCAAAAUUACUUGAGUGUGUCACCUAUAAGCUAAUGUUUGUUAUUAUUGGAAUCAGCAAACAGCCACAGAAAGGAAUUUUAAAACAUCACAAAUUUGAUGAAUUCCUUAUAGGAAAUUAUUGCUGCACAUUUAACCUGUCAAGAAAAUUAACUAUAUUAAGAUUUUUUCAAUGUAAAAUGACAAACCUGUCUUGACAAUGACCUUCAUGUCCUUCAUUGAUACAGGCCUCAUGGCCUUCAGGUUAGAGGAAUAACCCCAGGGAGGAUGGCUCAUAGAAAGAAAUAUUGAGAAAUAUUGUUAGCGCUAACAGAGUUUUCAAAACAACAAACUCAAGAAGACAAGAC